UCCCUGGUGGUCCAGUGGUUAGGACUUGGCACUUUCACUGCCAAGGGCCCGGGUUCAAUUCCUGCUCGGGAAA